rnacentral:rRNA from 1 species
GACGAACGCUGGCGGCGUGCUUAACACAUGCAAGUCGAGCGGUAAGGCCCUUCGGGGUACACGAGCGGCGAACGGGUGAGUAACACGUGGGUAAUCUGCCCCAUACUCUGGGAUAAGCCUUGGAAACGAGGUCUAAUACCGGAUAUGACUCUUCACCGCAUGGUGGGGGGUGGAAAGUUCCGGCGGUAUGGGAUGACCCGCGGCCUAUCAGCUUGUUGGUGGGGUAGUGGCCUACCAAGGCGACGACGGGUAGCCGGCCUGAGAGGGCGACCGGCCACACUGGGACUGAGACACGGCCCAGACUCCUACGGGAGGCAGCAGUGGGGAAUAUUGCACAAUGGGCGAAAGCCUGAUGCAGCGACGCCGCGUGAGGGAUGACGGCCUUCGGGCUGUAAACCUCUUUCAGCAGGGACGAAGCGCGAGUGACGGUACCUGCAGAAGAAGCACCGGCUAACUACGUGCCAGCCGCCGCAGUAA